AUACGGAGGGGGCUAGCGUUGUUCGGAUUUACUGGGCGUAAAGCGCACGUAGGCGGUUUAUCAAGUUAGGCGUGAAAGCCCUGGGCUCAACCCAGGAACUGCGCUUAUUACUGAUAGACUAGAGAGCGGGAGAGGGUAGCGGAAUUCCCAGUGUAGAGGUGAAAUUCGUAGAUAGUGGGAAGAACACCAGUUGCGAAGGCGGCUACCUGGACCGGUACUGACGCUGAGGUGCGAAAGCGUGGGGAGCAAACAGGAUUAGAAACCCCAGUAGUCC
rnacentral:rRNA from 1 species